UACGUAGGCAGCGAGCGUUGUUCGGAGUUACUGGGCGUAAAGGGUGUGUAGGCGGUUUUCUAAGUUUGGUGUGAAAUCUCCCGGCUUAACCGGGAGGGUGCGCCGAAAACUGGGAGACUAGAGUGCGGGGAUGGGAGAGUAGAAUUCCUGGUGUAGCGGUGAAAUGCGUAGAUAUCAGGAGGAAUACCGGUGGUGCAGACGGCUCUCUGGACCGCAACUGACGCUGAGACACGAAAGCGUGGGUAGCAAACAGG
rnacentral:rRNA from 1 species